rnacentral:rRNA from 1 species
GUGCCAGCCGCCGCGGUACUACCGACAGCCCGAGUGAUGGCCACUCCUAUUGGGCCUAAAGCGUCCGUAGCCGGCCUCGCAAGUCCGUCGGGAAAUCCACCCGCCCAACGGGUGGGCGUCCGGUAGAAACUGGCCGGCUUGGAACCGGAAGGCUCAGAGAGUACGUCCGGGGUAUGAGUGAAAUCCCGUAAUCCCGGACGGACUACCGAUGGCGAAAGCACUCUGAGAAGACGGCUUCGACAGUGAGGGACGAAAGCUCGGGUCUCAAACCGGAUUAGAGACCCGAGUAGUCC